GGUCUGGAAAGGCCCGCCAUAGGAGGUAACAGCCCUGUAGUCAAAACUUCGUUCUCUCCUGAGUGGAUCCUGAGUACGGCGGAACACGUGAAAUUCCGUCGGAAUCCGGGAGGACCAUCUCCCAAGGCUAAAUACUCCCUAGUGACCGAUAGUGAACCAGUACCGUGAGGGAAAGGUGAAAAGCACCCCGGAAGGGGAGGGAAAGAGAUCCUGAAACCGUGUGCCUACAAGUAGUCAGAGCCCGUUAACGGGUGAUGGCGUGCCUUUUGUAGAAUGAACCGGCGAGUUACGAUCCCGUGCAAGGUUAAGCAGAAGAUGCGGAGCCG
rnacentral:rRNA from 1 species